UAACGGCGAGUGAAGCGGCAACAGCUCAAAUUUGAAAUCUGGCCUCCUUUGGGGGUCCGAGUUGUAAUUUGCAGAGGGCGCUUUGGCGUCGGUAGCGGUCUAAGUUCCUUGGAACAGGACGUCACAGAGGGUGAGAAUCCCGUACGUGGUCGCCUACCUUCGCCGUGUAAAGCCCCUUCGACGAGUCGAGUUGUUUGGGAAUGCAGCUCUAAAUGGGAGGUAAAUUUCUUCUAAAGCUAAAUACUGGCCAGAGACCGAUAGCGCACAAGUAGAGUGAUCGAAAGAUGAAAAGCACUUUGGAAAGAGAGUCAAACAGCACGUGAAAUUGUUGAAAGGGAAGCGCUUGCCGCCAGACGUGCCCGUGGUGGUUUUCCUCCGCGGGCAGGCCAGCAUCAGUUUGGGCGAUCGGAGAAGGGCCUCUGUCAUGUAUCUUCCUUCGGGAUGACCUUAUAGGGGAGGCGUAGUACGAUCAGCCCGGACUGAGGUCCGCGCAUCUGCUAGGAUGCUGGCGUAAUGGCUGUAAGCGGCCCGUCUUGAAACACGGACCAAGGAGUCUAACAUCUAUGCGAGUGUUUGGGUGUCAAGCCCGAGCGCGCAAUGAAAGUGAACGGAGGUGGGAACCCUCUCUGGGGGUGCACCAUCGACCGAUCCUGAAGUCUUCGGAUGGAUUUGAGUAAGAGCAUAGCUGUUGGGACCCGAAAGAUGGUGAACUAUGCUUGAAUAGGGUGAAGCCAGAGGAAACUCUGGUGGAGGCUCGCAGCGGUUCUGACGUGCAAAUCGAUCGUCAAAUUUGGGCAUAGGGGCGAAAGACUAAUCGAACUAUCUAGUAGCUGGUUCCUGCCGAAGUUUCCCUCAGGAUAGCAGUAACGUAUUCAGUUUUAUGAGGUAAAGCGAAUGAUUAGAGGCCUGGGGGUUGAAACAACCUUCACCUAUUCUCAAACUUUAAAUAUGUAAGAAGUCC
rnacentral:rRNA from 1 species